rnacentral:rRNA from 1 species
UACAGAGACUGCAAGCGUUAUUCGGAUUCACUGGGCGUAAAGGGUGCGCAGGCGGUUUGUUAAGUCUGCUGUGAAAUCCCCGAGCUCAACUUGGGAAUUGCAGUGGAUACUGGCAGGCUGGAGUAUGGUAGAGGAAGGUGGAAUUCCCGGUGUAGCAGUGAAAUGCGUAGAGAUCGGGAGGAACACCAGUGGCGAAGGCGGCCUUCUGGACCAAUACUGACGCUCAUGCGCGAAAGCGUGGGGAGCAAACAGG